CUCGGGGUAGUGUAAAGGUUCGCAUACAGGGCUCAUAACCCUAUGGUCUUGGUUCGAUUCCAGGCCCCGACA
rnacentral:tRNA from 1 species